rnacentral:rRNA from 1 species
GACGAACGCUGGCGGCGGGCUUAACACAUGCAAGUCGAACGGAAAGACCAGGCUUGCGUGGGGUGCUUGAUGGGCAAACGGGUGAGUAACACGAGAGUAUCCUGACCUUGACUUUAGGUUAACUUUAGGAAACUGGGGCUAAUACCGGAUAGGAGCGCUUGCUGCUUGUUGGGGGUUGGAAAGUUUCGGGGGUUGGGGAUGGACUCGCGGCUUAUGAGCUAGUUGGUGGGGUAGGGGCUUACUAAGGAUUUGGCGGGUAGUCGGCCUGAGAGGGUGACUGGCCAAAUGGGGACUGAGAUACGGGCGAGAGUACUGCGGGAGACAGCAGUGGGGAAUAGUGCACGAUGGGCGGAAGUCUGAUGCAGCAACGCCGCGUGCGGGAUGAUGGCCUUCGUGUUGUAAACCGCUUUCGCCGGGGACGAUGAGGGAGUGACGGUAAUGGGUAAAGAAGCACCGGCUAACUACGUG